CCCCUCUGCUCCCCUCCCCCUGCCCCUUCUUACUCUGCAUGUGGUCAAUCUGCCAGCUAAGUGCCCUGGGUUUAUUUUUUUGUUUCUUUUUUUUGUUUUUUUAAUCUUUAAAAAGACUCUUCUUCCAAAGCGGUGCCUAAAAUUUAACCAAAAAGACUAGACUAAUAUAUUAAUAUAUAUUUGCUGUUCUGACAGAGUUUGUAUAUUGAGGGGAGCAAGGUGGGCCCUUAUCUCUCUGCCUGCCUUGCCACCCACCUGUAGGACUCUCCUGACCAUCCAUGCUGGCAGCCACUUCACCAUAGCCUGAUGCCUGGGACCUGGUCUGAGCCAGCUCUCACUCUCCCCAAACUCUGGGCCUCUUGGCUCUCUCACUUCUUGCCUGCUGCCCCAGCCUUGCUCCCUCCUUUUCCUUCUUGGGUGCCUCCAUUCUGCAGGAGGAGAACUGGGCCAAGCCACAGCUUCUGUCCCUUUUUCACUGCCCUAAGCAACUUGUCCUCCACCUAGCCUCAUGUCACAUGUGGUUCCAUACCAAGGGCCCUGCCUGGACUUCCAGCCUCUUCUCUGCAGCCGCUGCCUGGACCUUCCUCCCUGUCCCUGGGGUCAGGUGAGGGGGCAGCUCACCUCUCCAGGGGCCUCUCAGCCCCUUCCUGAUGCCCAGGACCUCAACGUCAAGAUGCCACCAGGAUGGGACAGGAGCCACAGUGCAUGUUGGACUUACUCCUCUGCCUGCUCUCCUGCCUGCCUCUCAGCCCUACUCUCCCACCCUACUGUGGGCUCCACCUGUUUGGCUUUCUGUUGGGGGCUGGACUUGUGUGUGGGGAGGGAGGAGAAGGCAAUGGCGAUGGCAGGGCACAGAGUCAGCUUUUUGGUGUGUCUGGGAAAUGCCCUGGCUCAAGUGGGAUAGGGAGAAACCUCGUGGAGCAGUGUCAGGCAGACGGAGCUGGAUGCUGGGCCAGGGAGACGAAGCCUGCAGGCCCGCAGUUAUGGGUGGGAUCAAGGGAAAGGGCCUCUUUGGCCACUCCUCAAGUCCACAGGAAGGAUUGAUAAACUCUUUCUACCCUUCACUUCCUCUCCUCCUCCUACCUGGAGGCUUGGAGAUAACCUAUUCUCCUUCUGUGUCAGCUGUCUCUCUCCAGCCUGCCCAGAGAAGCCCCUUCCCCAUGGGAAGACGAGAACUGGGGCUCCAACAUCAACCCACCAGGGCCAGGCCCAGGCUCCCGGGAGGCUCCUGUGCUGGGCCAUCCCACCCAGCAUGAUCCAGUGUUCACCCGGCCCCUCCUCCCUCCCGUGGAGCCUGCAGCCCUGUGA
rnacentral:lncRNA from 1 species